GUCCUUCAGCACCACAAUUCGAAAGCAUCAAUUCUUUGGUGCUCAGCCUUCUUUAUGGCCCAACUCUCACAUCCAUACACGACUACUGGAAAAACCACAGCUUUGACUAUACGGACCAGAUUGGUAGGUGGCAGGUUUAAUAAACAAGGGAACUUAUUUAAGAGUUUUGUCUUUAGUUCAGUUCAGUUCAGUCGCUCAGUCGUGUCAGACUCUUUGUGACCCCAUGAACUGCAGCACACCAGGCCUCCCUGCCCAUCACCAACUCCCGGAGUUUACCCAAAGUCAUGUCCAUUGACUUGGUGAUGCCAUCCAGCCAUCUCAUCCUCUGUCGUCCCCUUCUCUUCCUGCCCCCAAU